UUGCACGUAGCCUCCCGGGCUCUUCUGAGAUUUUACAAGUGAAAUUGAAGCCCCAAAGCUCGUGCUCGAAUGACNAUAAAUUU
rnacentral:snoRNA from 1 species